UUCAUUUGGAGGUUGUGAUGUUUUAUUUAAGCCAUAGGAGAUAGAGAUUAGUGAUGUUUUAUUUAAGCCAUAGGAGAUAGAGAUUACAGAACAUGAACUCUUGUUUUGUUUUUGUUAUUAACUUAUUCUCUUGUUAUGUCAGAGUGGUUGAGAUCUAUGCAACGAUGAUGUUCGCAGAAAGAGCCUUGGGGAAUUGUGAUUGGUGUUGACAUUUGGAUUCUCAAGAGACGGCAAACUCUGUCUUUGCUAAUUUAAAAUUGCAAUUUCAUGUUUGGUUCUGUUUUGUACCAUUUGUGGUAUGGUUUUGUCUCUGGAUUGAAAUAGACCUAUCCACUACAACCAAGUUUCUAGUUUUGGACUGCCAUGGAAGAUACCCCAUUGUUGCUUAGAAUUUGUUAAGAGCCCUCUUGUUCUAUGACUGGAGCCCGCCCAAAGUGGAAUGAACCUCGACCAAAUCAAUUCUCAGUUUUGACUCUUCCAUUGUUGCUUUGUUAUUUUCAGGUAAAUAGUAACACCUGCUGUCUGUAAUCAAAUCCUUUCUUUUUUAUUUUAUUCCAAUUUUUGUUGCCUGAGGUUCUCGAAUAAAACUAAACAUUGCAAGAAACUUCAAAUGAUCGUAAUUUUCCUUUUUCUGAUGAACAGCUUUCAUUUCUUUUUUCUUACCAGGCUGAAAGAACAGAUGAUGUCAGGUCUUGUGAUCAAUUAGCAUUUCUGUAAAAGAUAUAUGUUUGAGCAGCAUACUCUAAAUGUGUUGUAUUCAUCAGGAACUCUCAAAACCCGGACAUUUUUUCGUUGUUUUGAGU
rnacentral:lncRNA from 1 species